rnacentral:rRNA from 1 species
UACGAAGGGGGCUAGCGUUGUUCGGAAUUACUGGGCGUAAAGGGCGCGUAGGCGGUGUGUCAAGUCAGGCGUGAAAGCCCCGGGCUCAACCUGGGAACCGCGCUUGAGACUGGCACGCUCGAGUCCGGGAGAGGAUGGUGGAAUUCCCAGUGUAGAGGUGAAAUUCGUAGAUAUUGGGAAGAACACCGAUGGCGAAGGCAGCCAUCUGGACCGACACUGACGCUGAGGCGCGACAGCGUGGGGAGCAAACAGG